rnacentral:rRNA from 1 species
UAGUCCACGCCGUAAACGAUGAAUACUAGAUGCAGCGGGUAUCGACCCCUGCUGUGCCGUAGCUAACGCGUUAAGUAUUCCGCCUGGGGAGUACGGCCGCAAGGCUAAAACUCAAAGAAAUUGACGGGGGCCCGCACAAGCGGUGGAGCAUGUGGUUUAAUUCGAUGCAACGCGCAGAACCUCACCUGGGCUUGAAAUCCUCGGACCGCUAUAGAGAUAUAGUUUUCCACUUCGGUGGACUAAGUGACAGGUGCUGCAUGGCUGUCGUCAGCUCGUGUCGUGAGAUGUCAGGUUAAGUCCUAUAACGAGCGCAACCCUUGUUGCUAGUUGCCAGCAUUUAGUUGGGCACUCUAGUGAGACUGCCGGUGUCAAACCGGNGGAAGGUGGGGAUGACGUCAAGUCCUCAUGGCCCUUAUGCCCAGGGCUACACACGUGCUACAAUGGUCGGUACAAAGAGCAGCCAACUCGCGAGAGUGCGCUAAUCUCAAAAACC